UGUUUGUAUAACGUUCUAAUAUAUAAAAAGAAAAUUUUAAUUGUUCACCAAUAAAUAAAGUUACGUAGUUACUGUAAUGGAAUCCCCGAUUCCAUUACGCGCCUAUGACGCCAAUUAAAAUAGAGACACACAAAACAAAUACACAUAUACACAUACACAAACUCGCGAGCACCGCUAUCGCAGCAGCCACAAGAAGCAGUACUUCCCCACCACAGCAUAAUCCUACAAAAAUAGGAAUAGAAGAGUAGCGGCAACUGCGCACGGAGCGAAGAUUAUCCGAAAGAAUAGCCGUCGUCAGAAAAACUGACACGGACUAUCAACAGAAUUAAAAAGAUGUAACUGAACGAGCAAAACUAUGUCCCGAUAUCUCUCAAAUAGCGACAAGCUCAUCAAAUUGCAUCAAAUUCCGUUCACUCAAUCGUGAGAUAUUAGGUUUUAAUACAUAAAAAAUUUUUUUUUCACACCGUGCGGCGCAAGGCUAGGGAGCGCCAGGGAUCUACAGCUGCAACCUCCUGCUGACGCAUACUCACACGCACUUACACACAUUACACUAAAUGUACUUUUCUCUCUUGUUUUCUUGUAUAAAUAAACGUAGUAGUCGCUUUAAAUUCUAACCCCGUGUAAAAGUGAUUUCGUUAUCAGGCUCCCUUUCUCGGAAGGCAGUGACUGUGUCUGUGGUAGCCAAAAGGGAUUUCCAUUGUAAAUUUAAAAUAAUAAUAAUUGCCGAAGAUAGGAACGUUGCCGUCGCUAUAUUCGUGUUCAUCAACUUUGAAAACCCCCGAGUAACAAGUUUUGGCUAAUUAUGUUACAAUAUCUCUCAAAACUCCAUGAGACGACGUGAUACUGUCUACCCUGGGCACCAGGUACCUCAAGGAGCGUUGCCGUCGCUAUAUUCGUGUUCAACGACCUCGAAAACCGCCAAUCAACGAGUCACGACAAAAAGUCGUUAAUUUUCCGUGAAACUCUUGGAGACGACGUCGAUACUGCCCACCCUGGGCACCAGGUACCUUGGGGAGUGUUGUUGUCGCUAUAUUCGUAUUCAGCGACCUCGAAAACUCCCGAGUGACGAGUUUCGACUAAUUAUAUUGCAAAUUCCCACAAAACUCCAGGAGACGACGUGAUACUGUCCACCCUGGGCAGCAGGUACCUAGGAGAGCGUUGCCGCCCUGUUGAAAAUAUAUACCUGGAUAUCCAGGUGGAUUUUCCAUAUGGAUAAUCUAUAUGGAUUCCAUAUGGAUUCCAUGUGGAUAUUCCAUAUGGAUCUCCACAUGGAAUGGUUGUGAGCUCCAAAAUCUUAAUUUUUUUAGCAUUACAAAAAAUUUAAAUUUCUUUAAAAUAAUUAAAAAGUGAAUAUUUUGGAGCUGGACUGGCAUAGCAAAACUGGACUUAUUUCUAUAAAUAUUUAUGGAGUUCUUAUUUAUUGUCUCUUUCGCUGCACUUUAUAUAGGUUAUGAUCGCAUUCGACGCGCAUAAUAACUCAUUAUAAGCUUAAAAUUGGUUAAAAAUUGGGUUAUUUUUAACAAAAGAAAUAAGGUUAUUCUUACUAAGCAAGCCAACGCUUAAGCUAAUUCUUCUAACAGGGAUUUACUUAUAACUUUCCGUAUGUCCGAAGCUUUUCGAGCCUCGAUUGACGUAAUUCCACAAGACACAGGCACGUUCACACAAAGCAAUCACGCUCUGCUACCAUGUUAAAACAAAUCGAUCUGCUUCGUUUUAAUGUUGAUCAACUACAUUAAUUAAAAGAGAGACUUUAUAGAAAAAUUAUUUAUUAAGAGAACAACGUUGUGGUACUUACGAGAGUUACAAACCGACAGACAGAUUGUUAGAAAAAGCCGAAAGAAGCUUGCUUGGCAACAAGAAAUGAAAAACGUUCGAAAUAUAAAUGAAUGUAUAGUUUUGUCGUUAACAGAAACGUUUCAGAAAUGUUUCUAAAACGUGAAAAUGUCUGCUUUUGUUGGGAAAGUUCCGUUGUCAGAACAUUUCUAAGAACGCAAGCAAAUGUUUAAGAAACAUUUCCAACAACUUUUUUGAAACAAAUUUUUUGUUCGGAAAUAUCCGCGUUUUUCAAGUGUUGUAGCGAUGUUUCUGAAACGUUGAAAAACUUCAGAUUCAACGUUCCAAGGUUACAAUACAACGUUUAAGAAACGGUCCAGGCGUUUGCGGUGGUCGAUGCCGAGGUCCAGGUGAUGCGAUCCGUAGAUGUCGGUGUCUAGGUAUAAAUAUUGUUUGAAAACCGAUAGGUGUCAAUAUUAGCCAAUUAUGCAAUGCAUGGUAGCUGAUGACUAGGUAUUAUAUUUUAUAAUUUUUUGUCGUCGCCAUUCGCUGUAUAUUACGGUUAUUUUAUAUUUGUUUUCUUGCAGGAAGUGGAAAGCGUUUUUCUAAAUAUUUUUACUGGUGAUAACGUACAAUGCAAUACCCCUGUUGAAAAUAGUCGAUAGAUAGUUGAAAUAUAAUAUAGGCUAUAGUAGCCUACGUCAUUCGUGUAACAGUUCGCAUAUUUGUAUGUAAACAAACUUUUUAAAUACCGAAGCGAAAAAUCUACGAGGUUGACGAUAAUUACUCUCGAUCGAGUAAUUUUCAUUUUCUUGCUGCAUGUGCCACCAGCUUUAGUGAAGAAAACAUCAGCGAUUCUGAAAAUGAAAGCAGUUGUAGCAGUCAUACCGAUUCAUGUUCCUCAGACGGCAAGUCAAGCAGCGGCCGAAAUUCUUAUCGUAAAACCUCAUGUGUCACCAGCACGAUUUUGGAUUGAGACAGUAAUUGUUUCCAUCGCAUUUAAUUUUUGUAGCUAGUAAUAUAUUUCGGGAUUUCGUUCGUCAUAAUUUUACAGACGUUGAAGUGCAGCUUGAUUCCGAUGAUAACCUAGACGGCGAUAACUAUAAUCUAGUGUCUACGUUGAUUAACUAAGAUGGAAAAUCAAGAUACUUCACAUUGUCCUCCGUCAUCUCUUCGGCCACCGCCUUUACAACAACCUCAGCGGCCACCUCCUUCACAACUUCCGCCGCCUGAACAGGGCAGAGGCGCAAUACCGCGAGAUUUAAGACCUGUUCGGGGUCGCAGAGUUGCCCAUCAUGAAUCACGAAAUGCUGAUGUAAGGAUUAAUCCUUAUCACAGAAAUUUGGAAAAUGCCGCGGUGUUUAUUGCUAAAUUUAUUAGUGCUAUCAACAAAGAAACUGAGAAUGAUUUAAUUAAUAGAAGAAAUAGACAACAUCAAGAGGAAGAUAGAGAGUGAAAUUGUAGUUAUUCAAAAAAUAAACACCUCAGUAAAAUA